rnacentral:tRNA from 1 species
AAAAAAAUAAGCUAAUUAAGCUACUAGGUUCAUACCCUACUUAUAAAGGUUCAAUCCUUUUUUUUUUA